AUGGCAUUAAUAAAUAUCCCCACAGGCUGUCAUCAAAGAGAAUCAGUUAUUCGAAAGUGAGCGAGAGAGACAGAGACCAAGUGGGCAGCAGAGAAUAACAGAGUAACUGAUCAUAUAAGUGUGUGUAAAAAGAUAAAGGCCUUGCAUUGUUGUCGUGUGGUAAUUAAAUCGCAAGAAGCUGAUAAUGAUGCAGCCAACACAAGCGUAGUCGGGCAACAGCAAAAGGGCUUCUCCGCUCCGGACUCAUACUCACAAUUACAGACCCAAAUAUGCCCUCUAGGAAAUUAUUCAUGAUAACACAGAUUGCAUUGAUUGAUUGCGCGCGCGCUGGACCCGACUCCGGCUCGGGCCACAGUUGCCCUCCUGGUAGCUGGCACUCUCUCAGCCUGAGUUAUUUGAGCUAUUAAAUGUCUGUGAUUUGCCCAUAAGUUACUGUUGCGAUCUCUAGAUCAAUUGUUGGCAGCCCAACCGCUGCCACAUGUGCCUGUGCAUCUGCGGUUACUGUGCUCAAUACCACUUGGGUUCAUCUCAUUUUAAGGCAAAUUAUAAUACAUAUAUUUAUCUAAUUGAACGAAUAGAAAAAUGGACAUUCCAUAAUUCUCAA